GAUGAACGCUGGCGGCGUGCCUAAUACAUGCAAGUCGAGCGAACGGACGAGAAGCUUGCUUCUCUGAUGUUAGCGGCGGACGGGUGAGUAACACGUGGAUAACCUACCUAUAAGACUGGGAUAACUUCGGGAAACCGGAGCUAAUACCGGAUGAUAUUUUGAACCGCAUGGUUCAAAAGUGAAAGACGGUCUUGCUGUCACUUAUAGAUGGAUCCGCGCUGCAUUAGCUAGUUGGUAAGGUAACGGCUUACCAAGGCAACGAUGCAUAGCCGACCUGAGAGGGUGAUCGGCCACACUGGAACUGAGACACGGUCCAGACUCCUACGGGAGGCAGCAGUAGGGAAUCUUCCGCGAUGGGCGAAAGCCUGACGGAGCAACGCCGCGUGAGUGAUGAAGGUCUUCGGAUCGUAAAACUCUGUUAUUAGGGAAGAACAUAUGUGUAAGUAACUGUGCACAUCUUGACGGUACCUAAUCAGAAAGCCACGGCUAACUACGUG
rnacentral:rRNA from 1 species